rnacentral:rRNA from 1 species
UUUUACGGCGAUACCACCCUGAAUGCUCCCAAUCUCAUCUGAUCUUGGAAGCUUAGCAGGGUUCGGCUUGGUUAGUACUUGGAUGGCAUAUUCUCUGAUAUGCAACUCUUUAAAAA